AUAGAACGCUGGCGGCAGGCCUAACACAUGCAAGUCGAGCGAGCGGCGGACGGGGGAGUAAUGUCAGGGAAACUGCCUGCUGGAGGGGGAUAACUACUGGACUCGGUAGCUAAUACCGCAUCCCAUCAGAAGUGCCCAGAUGGGAUUGGCUGGUAGGUGGGGUAACGGGUUACCUGGGCGACGAGCCCCAGAUGGUCUGAGAGGAGGCCCAGCCACACGGGAACUGAGACACGGUCCAGACGCCUAGGGGAGGCAGCAAUGGGGAAGAGUGGACAGUGGGCGGGAGCCUGAUGCAGCGAGGCCGCGUGUGUGAAGAAGGCCAUCGGGUGGUAAAGCACUGUCAGGGGUGAGGCGUUACCCGCAGAAGAAGCACCGGCUAACUCCGUGCCAGCCGCCGCGGUAAUAC
rnacentral:rRNA from 1 species